rnacentral:rRNA from 1 species
UACGUAGGGUGCAAGCGUUGUCCGGAAUCAUUGGGCGUAAAGAGCGUGUAGGCGGUCCGGUAAGUCUGCUGUGAAAGUCCAGGGCUCAACCCUGGAAAGCCGGUGGAUACUGUCGGGCUAGAGUCCGGAAGGGGCGAGUGGAAUUCCUGGUGUAGCGGUGAAAUGCGCAGAUAUCAGGAGGAACACCAAUGGCGAAGGCAGCUCGCUGGGACGUUACUGACGCUGAGACGCGAAAGCGUGGGGAGCAAACAGG